rnacentral:rRNA from 1 species
ACGAACGCUGGCGGCGUGCUUAACACAUGCAAGUCGAACGGAAAGGCCCUGCUUUUGUGGGGUGCUCGAGUGGCGAACGGGUGAGUAACACGUGAGUAACCUGCCCUUGACUUUGGGAUAACUUCAGGAAACUGGGGCUAAUACCGGAUAGGAGCUCCUGCUGCAUGGUGGGGGUUGGAAAGUUUCGGCGGUUGGGGAUGGACUCGCGGCUUAUCAGCUUGUUGGUGGGGUAGUGGCUUACCAAGGCUUUGACGGGUAGCCGGCCUGAGAGGGUGACCGGCCACAUUGGGACUGAGAUACGGCCCAGACUCCUACGGGAGGCAGCAGUGGGGAAUAUUGCACAAUGGGCGGAAGCCUGAUGCAGCAACGCCGCGUGCGGGAUGACGGCCUUCGGGUUGUAAACCGCUUUCGCCUGUGACGAAGCGUGAGUGACGGGAAUGGGUAAAGAAGCACCGGCUAACUACGU